GUCGACGAUACCAAGAAGCUUGCUUCUUGGGAAAGUGGCGCACGGGUGCGUAACGCGUAUGCAACCUACCUUAAUCAGGGGGAUAGCCCGAAGAAAUUCGGAUUAACACCGCAUAAAAACACAGGAUAGCAUUAUCCAAUGUUCAAAUAUUUAUAGGAUUAAGAUGGGCAUGCGUGUCAUUAGCUAGUUGGCGGGGUAACGGCCCACCAAGGCGACGAUGACUAGGGGAUCUGAGAGGAUGACCCCCCACACUGGUACUGAGACACGGACCAGACUCCUACGGGAGGCAGCAGUAAGGAAUAUUGGUCAAUGGAGGCAACUCUGAACCAGCCAUGCCGCGUGCAGGAAGACGGCCCUCUGGGUUGUAAACUGCUUUUAUUCGGGAAUAAACCUACUUACGUGUAAGUAGCUGAAUGUACCGAAGGAAUAAGGAUCGGCUAACUCCGUGCCAGCAGCCGCGGUAAUACGGAGGAUCCAAGCGUUAUCCGGAUUUAUUGGGUUUAAAGGGUGCGUAGGCGGCUUAUUAAGUCAGGGGUGAAAGACGGUGGCUCAACCAUCGCAGUGCCCUUGAUACUGAUGAGCUUGAAUACACUAGAGGUAGGCGGAAUGUGACAAGUAGCGGUGAAAUGCAUAGAUAUGUCACAGAACACCGAUUGCGAAGGCAGCUUACUAUGGUGUGAUUGACGCUGAGGCACGAAAGCGUGGGGAUCAAACAGGAUUAGAUACCCUGGUAGUCCACGCCCUAAACGAUGAAUACUCGCUGUUAGCGAUACACAGUUAGCGGCUAAGCGAAAGCGUUAAGUAUUCCACCUGGGGAGUACGCCCGCAAGGGUGAAACUCAAAGAA
rnacentral:rRNA from 1 species